CCUACGAGGGUCAGCAGUGAGGAAUCUUGGUCAAUGGGCGCGAGCCUGAACCAGCCAAGUAGCGUGAAGGAUGACUGCCCUCCGGGUUGUAAACUUCUUUUAUAAAGGCAUAAAGUGAUGCACGUGUGCCUUUUUGUAUGUACUUUAUGAAUACGGAUCGGCUAACUACGUGCCAGCAGCCGCGGUAAUACGGAGGAUCCGAGCGUUAUCCGGAUUUAUUGGGUUUAAAGGGAGCGUAGAUGGGUUGUUAAGUCAGGUGUGAAAGUUUGCGGCUAAACCGUAAAAUUGCAAUUGAUACUGGCAGUCUUGAGGACAGUUGAGGUAGGCGGAAUUCGUGGUGUAGCGGUGAAAUGCUUAGAUAUCACGAAGAACUCCGAUUGCGAAGGCAGCUUACUAAACUGCCACUGACAUUGAUGCUCGAAAGUGUGGGUAUCAAACAGGAUUAGAUACCCCAGUAGUC
rnacentral:rRNA from 1 species